rnacentral:rRNA from 1 species
UGGGGAAUUUUGGACAAUGGGCGAAAGCCUGAUCCAGCAAUGCCGCGUGUGUGAAGAAGGCCUUCGGGUUGUAAAGCACUUUUGUCCGGAAAGAAAUCCUUGGCUCUAAUACAGUCGGGGGAUGACGGUACCGGAAGAAUAAGCACCGGCUAACUACGUGCCAGCAGCCGCGGUAAUACGUAGGGUGCAAGCGUUAAUCGGGAAUUACUGGGCGUAAAGCGUGCGCAGGCGGUUUGCUAAGACCGAUGUGAAAUCCCCGGGCUCAACCUGGGAACUGCAUUGGUGACUGGCAGGCUAGAGUAUGGCAGAGGGGGGUAGAAUUCCACGUGUAGCAGUGAAAUGCGUAGAGAUGUGGAGGAAUACCGAUGGCGAAGGCAGCCCCCUGGGCCAAUACUGACGCUCAUGCACGAAAGCGUGGGGAGCAAACAGGAUUAGAUACCCUGGUAGUCCACGCCCUAAACGAUGUCAACUAGUUGUUGGGGAUUCAUUUCCUUAGUAACGUAGCUAACGCGUGAAGUUGACCGCCUGGGGAGUACGGUCGCAAGAUUAAAACUCAAAUGAAUUGACGGGGUCAUAGCUG